AGAGUUUGAUCCUGGCUCAGGAUGAACGCUGGCGGCGUGCCUAAUACAUGCAAGUCGAGCGAACCACUUCGGUGGGAAGCGGCGAACGGGUGAGUAACACGUAGGUAAUCUGCCCAUCAGACGGGGACAACGAUUGGAAACGAUCGCUAAUACCGGAUAGGACGAAAGUUUAAAGAUGCUCCUGGCAUCACUGAUGGAUGAGCCUGCGGCGCAUUAGCUAGUUGGUGGGGUAAAGGCCUACCAAGGCGACGAUGCGUAGCCGACCUGAGAGGGUGAACGGCCACACUGGGACUGAGACACGGCCCAGACUCCUACGGGAGGCAGCAAUAGGGAAUCUUCGGCAAUGGGCGAAAGCCUGACCGAGCAACGCCGCGUGAAUGAAGAAGGCCCUCGGGUUGUAAAAUUCUGUUAUAAGGGAAGAAAGGUGAUAGGAGGAAAUGACUAUCAAUUGACGGUACCUUAUGAGAAAGCCACGGCUAACUACGUG
rnacentral:rRNA from 1 species